GUGUUUGUUUUGGCAGCACAUAUACUAAAAUUGGAAUGAUACAGAGAAGAUUAGUCUAGCCUCUGUGCAAGGAUGAUGCACAAAUUUGUGAAGCAUUCUGUAUUUUU
ensembl:snRNA U6 U6 spliceosomal RNA